CGGCGCCCCUCCCUUCUUCUUCGGCGAAGCGCCGCCUCCGUCACCGGCGAGAGCGCAGCCCCUCCGGAACCCUCGACUCUCAUCCCCGUCCUCUCUUUUUCGCUUUUCGCUCACUCCCACAUACUCAGCGCCGCAGCAGCAGCCGCCGGUAAAGCGACAGCCGCCGUUGCACAGCUCCCUCUCCCUCGCUCGUCUCUCGCCUAGCCCGCUCGGAAUGACAGCAGAGCCGUCGAGCCCUCUCCCUAAAUCCCCAGAACUCGAGCUAUAACCCCUGCCUCCUGCAACCUCCGGCGAGCAGCGGCCAAAACCGCCACCACCGUCUCUCUAUUUCCCUCUCAACAAUCAAACACACGCGCACGGACAUGGCGUAAGCCACGCCGCCGCCGGAUACAGGACAGCAAACGCCCCACCGCGGUGCGCCGCCGCCUGCUCCUUCUUUUCCGACAAACAGCCGAAGCUACCUCCGUCUCCGCCCCGCCCGAAAUCGAUCGGAAACGACGACAGGUUCACCGCCGCCGCUCCGUUGCCGACGACGAGCCACCGAGGCUGUCAUUUCCCGACCUCGACUCACACACAAAACAGGGGUGUCAAGCAUCAAAUCAGUUCAAGGGUUUUCUUGUGCAAAUUCACUUUACAACUGUAAUACUCAAUAUAAAGUCUUUUAUUCAUCUGUAAUUUCAUUUCACAUAUAACAUAUCUUGUAAACAUAUAGUGAAACGUCAAGUAACUGUGUGUGUUGGGAUUCUGUGUUGGUGAUUUAGAGAAUUAAACAAAAGGGGAUAAUACCUUGAGUA